UGCUACUUGGCAUUCCACUUAAUUAAAAGAUGCCAAGUGCGUUUCCAUGUCAGCCCCACAUCAUAAUACCGUAGCAUCUCAAAGACUUUCCACCCCUUUAAAAAGAGAGAGAGAGAGAGAGGGGAUAUAAGAAUCUUUCCCCGGAAAAUAGAAAAUAACUCCUACAAUCCCAUUGACUUAAAGGGGGAAGAAUUUGCUAUGCUAAGCUCACCAAUGUGGAAAAAAAGGGACUAACAAUAUAAUCAGCAUUCAAGGGUCCCAUCAUCGAGUUUCUCAGAUAUUACGCUGGAACUGGACAAUAAGCAAGCUUCACGAUAUCUGUAUGUGUUCAUACCAUCCGAAUUUCCCAUUUGCCAGAUGCUCCUCCAAAGCUCAAUGUUAACACUUGCUGCCUAAACGACCAACACUCGUGGCACUUGCCUAUGGCAUGCAGCAUUACAGGCCCUAAGGAUUUGGUGACACAUCCCCACUUAAACUGGUCACAAUAUCCUCACGUACCGACCAUGUCUUUGUUGGCCUCAUUUCGCUUAGAAGGUUUUUCUCUCUUUGGUAGUUUCUACUGUAGAUCCUUUGGUAAAAGCAUGGAGCACCUAUUUAGGGGCGACAUCAAACCAACCAUGUUCUAACUUGCUUAUUUCAAGGCAUUCUGUCGCUCGGUACCUAUACUCAAGCGGAUAUUCAUCUUGAAGAAAUGUCUCUGCUUAGGCAUAUACUCAACUUAGUUCUCAUGUGGGAACUUUGCUUGGUGAAUGCUCAUUCCAAGCGCUAUCGCAAUUUUCAAUCUUAUGUUUGAACUUUGAUUUAGGAACCUGUCCUAAGGUUCUUUAAUUUUUCUACUAUAAAUCUUUAUUUUUCGCCUGUAUACACCAAUGCUAUAUGGAUGGGGCAAGAAUGUUGCAGCAUAGUCAGCAGUAUACAUCUGAACAAGAAAAACAAUACGAUGAAAAUUUAUAUGUCGAUGUGAGGCAUAUUAAAUAUUAACUGAUUCUGGCUUAAAGACAAUAUACCAAUUGUUGGUCCGGGAAUACCAAUCUAUCCGGGCACCAUAUUUCUGUAGCUGUUUUCUGGUAACCUUGUAGAUUGCUGCUGCAUUCAUGAUUCAUCCCUACUCUUUCAAAUCUUUUACUACCCCGCUCCUGUCAACCAAAAUUACUUACAAGGGUAGUGGGGAAGCUAACUUGAAAAUUCUAAUCUUUUUUAAUUUUCAUUGUUUAUGGUAAGAUAUGCAAAGCUUACUAGCUAUGUUCUCCAGUAUGAGCUGUGUAAACACAAAGAUGAAGGUGUCUUAUUCUAAAAAAAAUGAUGAAUGGUGUCCUGCUUUUGUAGUGGCAGAGAAGUUCACACAUCGGUGCAUAUGUAAGAUUCUCAGUAUUAAACUCAUUGUACUAUACAGAUUUAGAUAUAAUAUUUGUUGUGAUUAUAUA